rfam:Schistosoma mansoni strain Puerto Rico chromosome 3, complete genome
GUCCAGCUGACGAGUCCCAGGUAGGGCAAAACGCGAGUCCUGGAU